UGGCUCAUUAAAUCAGUUAUGAUUUAUUAGAUGAUACAUUAUAUUACUUGGAUAACUGUGGCAAUUCUAGAGCUAAUACAUGCAAACGGAGUUCCUGCUUUUAAUGGCAGGAACGCUUUUAUUAGAUCAAAACCAAUACGUUAGUUUCGGCUAACGAUAUCAUUGGUGACUCUGAAUAACUUUAUGAUGAUCGCAUGGUCCUGGUACCAGCGACAAAUCUUUCAAAUGUCUGACUUAUCAACUGUCGAUGGUAGGCUUUACGCCUACCAUGGUUGUAACGGGUAACGGGGAAUCAGGGUUCGAUUCCGGAGAGGGAGCCUGAGAAACGGCUACCACAUCCAAGGAAGGCAGCAGGCGCGCAAAUUACCCACUCCCAGCACGGGGAGGUAGUGACGAAAAAUAACGAUACGGGACUCAUCCGAGGCCCCGUAAUCGGAAUGAGCACACUUUAAAUACUUUAACAAGUAUCCAUUGGAGGGCAAGUCUGGUGCCAGCAGCUGCGGUAAUUCCAGCUCCAAUAGCGUAUAUUAAAGUUGUUGCGGUUAAAAAGCUCGUAGUUGAAGUUGUGAGUUGCACUGUUGGUGCAUCAAUUUUGGUGUUUACUUACAUGUUGCAGUUCGUCCAGUCAGUGGGAUCUGGUAUGGAACUAUGUGCAUUCGAUCUUUUUUAAAGACGAUUGCAGUAGUUGACAGCCUUUCUCUAUUCACCCAUUACGGUGCUCUUUACUGAGUGUCGUAGAGGGCUGACACGUUUACUUUGAACAAAUUAGAGUGCUAAAAGCAGGCAUUAUGCCUAUAUAUUGUGUGCAUGGAAUAAUAAAAUAGGACCUCGGUUCUAUUUUGUUGGUUUUCUGAACCAGAGGUAAUGAUUGAUAGGAACGGACGGGGGCAUUCGUAUUGAGGCGUUAGAGGUGAAAUUCUUGGAUCGUCUCAAGACGGACAGAAGCGAAAGCAUUUGCCAAGAACGUUUUCAUUAAUCAAGAACGAAAGUUAGAGGUUCGAAGGCGAUCAGAUACCGCCCUAGUUCUAACCAUAAACGAUGCCAGCCAGCGAUCCGCUGAAGUUCCUCCGAUGACUUAGCGGGCAGCUUCCGGGAAACCAAAGCUUUUGGGUUCCGGGGGAAGUAUGGUUGCAAAGCUGAAACUUAAAGGAAUUGACGGAAGGGCACCACCAGGAGUGGAGCCUGCGGCUUAAUUUGACUCAACACGGGAAACCUCACCAGGUCCGGACACUGGUAGGAUUGACAGAUUGAGAGCUCUUUCUUGAUUCAGUGGGUGGUGGUGCAUGGCCGUUCUUAGUUGGUGGAACGAUUUGUCUGGUUAAUUCCGAUAACGAACGAGACUCUAACCUGCUAACUAGCCGUUUCCGACAUCAUAUGCUGUCGGCGGCUUACAAUUCUUCUUAGAGGGACAGGCGGCUUCUAGCCGCACGAGAUUGAGCAAUAACAGGUCUGUGAUGCCCUUAGAUGUCCUGGGCCGCACGCGCGCUACAAUGAAGGUAUCAACGUGUCUUCCCAGGCCGAAUGGUCCGGGUAACCCGCUGAACCACCUUCGUGCUAGGGAUUGGGGCUUGCAAUUGCUCCCCAUGAACGAGGAAUUCCCAGUAAAUGCGAGUCAUAAGCUCGCGUUGAUUACGUCCCUGCCCUUUGUACACACCGCCCGUCGCUACUACCGAUUGAAUGAUUUAGUGAGGUCUUCGGACUGGUGCGCGAUAGCGUUAUUUAUAAUGCUGCCGAUGCUACUAGAAAGAUGACCAAACUUGAUCAUUUAGAGGAAGUAAAAGUCGUAACAAGGUUUCCGUAG
rnacentral:rRNA from 1 species